AGUCAGUUGUGUACAUGACUCCUUCGCUCCCGACGAAUGACUGACAGAAUCCUAAUCAAACCUCACCUUACAGGACUGUGAACAUUUCAAUCGUCCCUAGGAUCCCUUGGUUGUUUGGUUAUCCAAGGCGGCGGUGCCUCAGACGAGGUUGUGGACUUGCUCAACCUCGGUCCUAGGGCUUUUCUCCGCCAAGAAGAAGGCGGGCGGGAAAAGACCCUGGCAUCGGCCGGUCACGUAAUUUUUAAA